rnacentral:lncRNA from 1 species
UGGUCAUAUACAACACAAAACACAUAAUCUGUAAGUCACAGUCAUGCUGGAAUUUUAUGAAAUACAAAAACCUAUUUAUAAAUUUUGAAUUUUUAUGUCACAAAAUGAAUUCAGUAUUUCAGAUCAACAGUAAAUCUUAAUUGAACAUUCUUUCGGUUCAACUUAUCUAAGAAUACACAAUUUGUGAAUAAAAUGAAAGAAGAAUGACUUUAUGAUUGGUUCACAGUAAAAUAUAAAGAUCUUUAAUCAUUGGAUUCUUUGACUACCGCGAUCCAACAACUCUCUCCGGAUUGAUAUCUAUAGAAAGAUGAAUCAUAAAAUUGAUGAUGACAUUGUGACUUGGUCGAAAUCUUGUCUUGAAGAAACAUAGUCAUCAAUUAUGGCAAAUUUUAAUGACAAUUUUGAAGUGAUUUAGGAUGUAAUGAAGAUGUAAAUGCAACGAUUUCCCAGAGCUGUAGAGUAAUAGAAAAAGUAAUUUUAUAUCAGCAUUUUCAGAAAUCUGAAAAUACAAAUAACAAAUGCCUACUCUCUAAUUACAAAAAUUGAAAAAAGACACCACAAAAUGGGUAAAAUGCACACAUAUUCUCACUGGUCAAGGUCAGAGUAAUCAUUUACAAAAUUUGAAAACGUUAAAUUGAUAACUUCAAAAGCUUAUGUUGAGCUUGAUAUAUACCUUCAAAAUAUGAUAGCAUAUUUACUUUAUGUACUUUGGGAAAAUUAUAUUAUUGAAAAAUACGAAUUAAUUAUUGAAAAAUACGAGCUUCAUCUUCUCCAAAUGAACAAAUUUCAUCAGUUUUCCAUCUGAAUUGAGCCAUCAUAUGCUGAACAGGAAUGUCGUGGCUCGUAAUCGAAGAUUUUGGUAGAGAAAUUAUAGUGAUUGGGAGAGAAUUUGGAAAUUAGGGAUUCUUGAGAGAGAAAGAUAUCGUUUGAUUGUGGGGGAAGAGAUAUAAUUGUUAGAAUUUCAUUUUUUUGGGCAUCUAGUUUGAAUUAUAUUUUAUCAAAAAAUAAAUUAUAUUAUCUAUGUUUUUA